GUUAGGAAUAUUGGACAAUGGGCGAAAGCCUGAUCCAGCCAUGCCGCGUGAACGAUGAAGGCCUUCGGGUUGUAAAGUUCUUUAGCCGAUGAUUAUAAUGACUGUAGUCGGAAAAUAAGCCCCGGCUAACUUCGUGCCAGCAGCCGCGGUAAUACGAAGGGGGCGAGCGUUAUUCUGAAUCACUGGGCGUAAAGCGUGCGUAGGCGGUUUUGUAAGUUAGGAGUGAAAGCCCAGGGCUCAACCUUGGAAUUGCUCUUAAAACUGCAAGGCUCGAAUCUCGGAGAGGAUAGCGGAAUUUCCAGUGUAGCAGUGAAAUGCGUAGAUAUUGGAAGGAACACCAGUGGCGUAAGCGGCUAUCUGGACGAGUAUUGACGCUGAGGCACGAAAGCGUGGGGAUCAAACAGGAUUAGAAACCCGAGUAGUCC
rnacentral:rRNA from 1 species